GAUGAACGCUGGCGGCGUGCCUAAUACAUGCAAGUCGAGCGAACGGACGAGAAGCUUGCUUCUCUGAUGUUAGCGGCGGACGGGUGAGUAACACGUGGAUAACCUACCUAUAAGACUGGGAUAACUUCGGGAAACCGGAGCGAAUACCGGAUGAUAUUUUGAACCGCAUGGUUCAAAAGUGAAAGACGGUCUUGCUGUCACUUAUAGAUGGAUCCGCGCUGCAUUAGCUAGUUGGUAAGGUAACGGCUUACCAAGGCAACGAUGCAUAGCCGACCUGAGAGGGUGAUCGGCCACACUGGAACUGAGACACGGUCCAGACUCCUACGGGAGGCAGCAGUAGGGAAUCUUCCGCAAUGGGCGAAAGCCUGACGGAGCAACGCCGCGUGAGUGAUGAAGGUCUUCGGAUCGUAAAACUCUGUUAUUAGGGAAGAACAUAUGUGUAAGUAACUGUGCACAUCUUGACGGUACCUAAUCAGAAAGCCACGGCUAACUACGU
rnacentral:rRNA from 1 species